CCGUGAUUUAUUACUUGCCCUGCUGCUUCUGACAAACUAUUUGUAGGAAAAUGAGAUUUGGUCCGCGCUGGAUGGCUCCUCUGGGAGGCAGGCGUGGGGGUCGGGUGUCGGAGGCCCCGUGCGCCCCCCCACCCCCCACCAGAGCCCACGGCGCUCACGGAGCUCUUUAAGAUAAAUGAGCAAAAUUAAGAGACUCACUGGGGGAAGAAAACACUGGAUGGGAGCGAGCGAGAGCGGAUGGUACUUGGUUUCCUCCCAGAAAUGCAUCCACGUGCGCCCCACUGGGGCCUCCCCCAUCUGCUGCAGACUCCAGGGAACUUCCUCCCCUCAAAGACGAACUUCCAGCCCUGGAGCAUGUUUCUUCCUUUCCUGGGAUGUGGCGCUGAAAAGGGCAGAAACCUCUAGUAAGGCACAAGCAACAGAUUGGGGGUGGAGCAGCAGGUCUCUUUGGAGGUGGCCUGGAAGAAACCGGACAGAGAGGAUGGGAAGGGGAGAAACAGAAGAGUGUGACGAGAUCAUGAAGGAAAGAGGAGGCGUCUACUGAAUGUAAGGUAGAGCCAAAGGCAUCUAUUGAUGACUGAAGAAGAGGCAUGAAUAUGACAAAAACAGGAAGCUGGGAAAACGGCAAUGGAUUAAUAACAAGAAAUUAAUGGUGAAGUGGUGACGAAAAUUCUACAUUGCUUAGAAAGCAAAUAGUGAAAUGAACAUUUACAUUCUGGCAACCUCAGAAGUACAACGAACAGAGGACACCAGCCAGGUAGGGCAAAGGCCUGUGCGCCCCCUUUUGCUGUUACAUGUUUAUCAGAUGCGUGCUCUGUUUCUGUUGUAUUACAUUACUUUUCUCUUCAAUGUCUACUGAGGAAGAACAAGUAGCUCCUCAGGCAAGUCAACUGUUAACUCUGCAGUUUUUAUUUAAUCUCCCAGGAAUGUAACCCUUAACUUUAAAGAAUGUAGUGACCAUAAAACUUAUAAGGCAUGUUUCUUAAGGAAAUUGUACCUGUUUAUUUAAUCUAUCAGAUAUGAAUGUUAUAGAAAAUUAAAUUUGUCCACUUAAGCUGUAGAUGAACUUUUCACCUUUCUGAUCAGAAAUUCACCAUUUUAUAGUAUAGGUUCUGUUAUUAAUCAGAAUAUUUCAUUUAGACUCUUUCUAUCCAACUUUUUCUUAGAGGCUAUUCAAAAUAAAGGUGCUUCUAACAGUUUCAUAUCGAAAUACGAUGCAAAGCCUUGCUCUUCCAUGGUAUCCUUUGAGUGAGCCAAACUUAUUUAGCCAUUCCCCUAUAGUUAAAUAGCUAGGAUGUUUCCAACAUCUCACCUUUAAAACAAUAGUGCUAUGAAUGUCAUAAAUGUUUGUAUAUGUAAAUAUGUAGGAUAAAUCCCUAUCAGUAGAAUUUCAAAAGGUAUACGCAAUCAGUAUUUUCAUACAUAUUUAAAAUUUUCCAUCCAUACAAAGGUUGCUAACAUAUUUAUUUAAAAUUUUAAAAAUAAUUUUAUAUGCCUCUUGUAACCAGUAAUAGGAUGCAAAGUUUUUGUUUUAAGGUAACAUUGCUCCUCUUCCCCCAUUGUCUCUGUCAUCUAUAGUACUCCCUAAGGUAGUUCAUGUUAUUGCAAGGGUGUGUAUCAUCCCAAACAUAUUGCUUCCACAUACAUAUAUCAGCAUACAUAUAUAUAUAUGUAUAGCAUAUAUAUAUAUGAGCACAUAUUAAUAUAUGCCCAUGCACAUACAAGCAUGUUUUUGUUAAUUUUUACUGAAAUGGAAUCAUGCUACAUACUUAUGAACAAAUUGCUUCUUUCACCUUAUAUCACUUAUAAUUGUUAUUCUACAAAUCAGUACAUAUAAAAAAUACAUAUUUACAUAUGUAAUACUCUAUCUGUUAUAAUUUUCUGCAUGCACAUGUAUGCAUAUACAUAUAUUCAUAAACAUAAAAAUCUAAACGGGAUUUUUUUG
rnacentral:lncRNA from 1 species